GGAAGUGGAAAGUUGGAAGACAGAAGU
rnacentral:piRNA from 1 species